GCGCGGGUGCCACCCGCUGGGGCUCCGCUCCCCCUGCGCGAGCCCGCGCGUCCUUCCCGGCGAGGUCCCUCCGCGGCGCGGCCAGACCCAGUGCGAUUUUGACAGCAGUCAUCAUACCAAGCUAUUAUGAAGUGUGAUGUCAGUCUGGAGGACGGAUAAUAUAUAAGCCAGUUCUUGACACGCUAUCUUACAAGGAAACAUCUGAGACCAUCAGUCCACUUCACUUUGCCAUUGAACAUGAGCCCUAUAGGCAUAUAAUACAUAAUUGUUGAAAUGUAACUAAAAUGUGGAAAAUAUAUCUUCUUCUGGCUCAAGGAAUAUUAUUAUAAAAGAGUUAAAAACUGACCUUUCAUUUAUACAAACGGAAAAUUGUAUUGACUUCUCUCAAGUAGUAAGGUUGUAUCUCCUUUCCCUGACCCACUAUUUGCCUGCCCUCACUGAAGCGCCCUGGGCUUCUAAUGUGAGGAAAAACACGGAAUGACAAGUGUGGGAAAGAGCAAGCACUAAAUUACUGUCAGAAAAAAUAAACGGAGUAGCACAGUGGUGCUCGGUGAUUUACGGGGGCAAUUAGUCACCACCCCACGGCGCUGCUGAGGACAGCAUGGCAGCAGACUCGCCAGGCCCGAGAGGAAGAAGAGGCUUUGCACUGCUCUCCAGACAACUUUUCAAACAACAAGAGAGGAUAUUUGAGCACAUUAGGUUCCAUGUCUUCCUUCUGGGUGCCCACCCUUCACAUUAUUCAACCAACCUAAUACAUAAACAUAUUUUUAACACAAUAUUAACCUGUUCUGUGUGUGUUAAAAAGACCAACUGCAGCUUUUUUCUCUCCCACUGUCCAAAGUAGGUGUUUCUCUAUCCCGUAAAAAGCAAAACAAACGAACGAAAAAACCCUUUCCCCACUCACAAAUUGUCCCCCUGAUGUGUGCCUUCGGUCUGUCUCAUUACUUUUGCAUCUUGCUACUAUGUUCUAUAUUUGCUCAGAGCCACUGGGUGCUAAGGAAUUUGGUCUGCCGCUCCUCCAGGGAAGUUUGGUGAGCUGGUACAAGGAGGUGAUAAACAAGGCCAUAAAACACAGGGUAAAUGAAAAAGAUACAUAAACUUCCUGAUAUUUCUUUUUUUUUUUUAACAUCUUUA